GAUGAACGCUGGCGGCGUGCCUAAUACAUGCAAGUCGAGCGAACAGACGAGGAGCUUGCUCCUCUGACGUUAGCGGCGGACGGGUGAGUAACACGUGGAUAACCUACCUAUAAGACUGGGAUAACUUCGGGAAACCGGAGCUAAUACCGGAUAAUAUAUUUAACCGCAUGGUUCAAUAGUGAAAGACGGUUUUGCUGUCACUUAUAGAUGGAUCCGCGCCGCAUUAGCUAGUUGGUAAGGUAACGGCUUACCAAGGCAACGAUGCGUAGCCGACCUGAGAGGGUGAUCGGCCACACUGGAACUGAGACACGGUCCAGACUCCUACGGGAGGCAGCAGAAGGGAAUGUUCCGCAAUGGGCGAAAGCAUGACGGAGCAACGCCGCGUGAGUGAUGAAGGUCUUCGGAUCGUAAAACUCUGUUAUUAGGGAAGAACAAAUGUGUAAGUAACUAUGCACGUAUUGACGGUACCUAAUCAGAAAGCCACGGCUAACUACGUG
rnacentral:rRNA from 1 species